rnacentral:tRNA from 1 species
GGAAUAUGGCGAAAUUGGUAGUACGCACCACACUCAAAAUGUGGCGAGGCAACUCGUGUCGGUUCGAGUCCGACUAUUCCCACCAAU